GUACUAAGGUAGCAUAAUCAUUAGUCUCCUAAUUAGGGAAUAGAAUGAGGGGGGUAACUAAUCAUAUCAUUAUAAAAAUUCGUUUUAACAAAACUAGCAUUAUAGUAAAAAGACUAUAAUACUUAAGAAAGACAACAAGACCCUGUUGAACUUAACACCUAUUGUUUUACUGGGGAAGUAAAUCAAUAAAAUUUUAAUUUAAUAAAUAUACUUAAUCGGAGUUAAUCAAACACAGAAACAAGUUACCACAGGGCUAACAGCACAAUUAUACUCCAGAGUACAAAUCAAAAGUAAAGAUUAUGACCUCGAUGUUGAAUUAGAAAACUAAAUUAAGCAAAAUUAAUUAAAGUGGGUCUGUUCGACCCUUAAUCAUCUACAUGAU
rnacentral:rRNA from 1 species